AGUCGAACGGUGAAGAGGAGCUUGCUCCUUGGAUCAGUGGCGAACGGGUGAGUAACACGUGAGCAAUCUGCCCUUGACUCUGGGAUAACUGCGGGAAACUGUAGCUAAUACCGGAUAUUACCUUGGAAGGCAUCUUCUGGGGUGGAAAGAAUUUUGGUCAAGGAUGAGCUCGCGGCCUAUCAGCUAGUUGGUGAGGUAAUGGCUCACCAAGGCGACGACGGGUAGCCGGCCUGAGAGGGUGACCGGCCACACUGGGACUGAGACACGGCCCAGACUCCUACGGGAGGCAGCAGUGGGGAAUAUUGCACAAUGGGCGCAAGCCUGAUGCAGCAACGCCGCGUGAGGGACGACGGCCUUCGGGCUGUAAACCUCUUUUAGUAGGGAAGAAGCGACUGGGUUUUCCUGGAAGUGACGGUACCUGCAGAAAAAGCACCGGCUAACUACGUGCCAGCAGCCGCGGUAAUACGUAGGGUGCAAGCGUUGUCCGGAAUUAUUGGGCGUAAAGAGCUCGUAGGCGGUUUGUCGCGUCUGCUGUGAAAACCCGAGGCUCAACCUCGGGCCUGCAGUGGGUACGGGCAGACUAGAGUGCGGUAGGGGAGAUUGGAAUUCCUGGUGUAGCGGUGGAAUGCGCAGAUAUCAGGAGGAACACCAAUGGCGAAGGCAGAUCUCUGGGCCGUAACUGACGCUGAGGAGCGAAAGCAUGGGGAGC
rnacentral:rRNA from 1 species